GUUACUGUGCUGGAGUGAUUCGAAUUUUCGCCCUCUCAGUUUGCUCUUCCGAAGAAUCGUUGUUGAAAGCAUUCAGAAGAUACAAAAUAAACAUCAGACCUUUUCCUUUCGGAAGACUUUGUGCUCAUCUCGGCUUGUCCCCGGCACUCCGAAAUCUGGCGCUAUUAGCCGAUGCUACCAACAGGUUUCCGAUGGGGGUGCCUCGGGCAUCGGCCUAGCCAUGCAAAUAAAUCGCUGGUUUACACCAUUUACGGUUACUGAUGGUGAGGACGUGUGGGCACAAGUCUCCUUUGGGCUGCUGAUGGUCAUUGAUGAUGAUACACCGGUUGAUCCAACUCUUAUCCACCUGGAGCCAGUGUCUACAGCCAUCAUCAUUGAGGGGAGGCUGGUAAUGGAUGGUCUCAAAAGUUUGCCUGAGGCACUCUGCAUCUUGUUUGGGUUAGAACAAGCUACCACCAAAAUGGCAAAGUCUUAAAAAUCUUCUGCUGAGAUGUUUUCUAUUUUUUGAGCUUAUAUGGUUCUAAACUGAAAGGAGAAUUCUGGUGUGAUAUUGACUUAAAGUGUGUUGA